AAAACCCUUUUUCUCUGAAUCGCUUUUUCUUCUUCAACAAAAAUCACUUUUCCCCGCCGAACCACUUUUUCUUAACCCAAAAUCACGUUUCUCUGUCAAAAUCGUUAUUUCUCCAGCCAAAUUGUUGUUUCUCUGUCAUCAAACUGCUGCUUCUCCUUCAUCAAUCGAAAUCACGGCUUCUCCGUCAUCGAUUGAUAUCGGUGCUUCUCCGUCACCGAUCAAAAUUGCUGUUUCUCCUUCAAUGAUCGAAAUUUCUACUUCUUCUUCGGUGGAAAUCAUUGCUUCAACUUUCAAAUUAGUUAAUUUACCAUUCUAAAUAGCUCACGAAUUUCUCAAAACCUAAUACUUGAGAUCUUUGUUGUAGAAUCUCUUUUCGAUCAUCGCUACAACGGUGCAUUUUCUCCGGUCGACACUAUCAAUAUUCCUUUUUACUAAUUUUAAGGUGUCGCUGAAUUUGUUGACAGAAACCGUAAGCUUUUCUGAGGGAUCAGUGCAUUUUUCCUUAGCCUGGAGGAGGAGUUGAAACAUACAAUUUCGUUUAGAUAUAUGUAUGCUCGAGUUCAUAAAAAAAAGAUGGAGAAUAUGUCUCUCAACGAUCGAAGUUAUUUGUUGAGUCAUAUGACACGGCUAUAUUGGAAAAGUAUGGAGAAGACUCUUCCACUCAUCCGAUGAUUGAUCCUAAAGUGUGGGUAGAAGAACUAUGUCUGCCCCAUUUGUUGAUGUCACUAGUCAUUCCAGAACCAUGGAGGAAGAUAUCAAGAAAGCUGUGGAUAAGGCAAUGAUCUCUUUUGUCCAAACACAUUUGGCGCCGAUGUUGGAGCCAAUCCUUUCAUUGAUUCGAUCCAUGCCAAAAGCACCCAUGCAAAGUGAAGUACCUGAAAAAACUCAUGGAGAUACAAGGUGAAAGAAUGUUUUCCAAUCUAUUUUGGAAACCGGAGUUAAUAUGGAACUUGAGUUGUGAUUUCUGAAUUGGAAAUAAAAUAGAAUUAUUGUAAUGUAUAAUGUUUUAGUGUUGUUAAAUAUAUUAAAAAAUUGAUUUUAGAAUAUUAUUG